rnacentral:rRNA from 1 species
AUACUUGCAAGUCGAACGAGCUUCCGUUGAAUGACGUGCUUGCACUGAUUUCAACAAUGAAGCGAGUGGCGAACUGGUGAGUAACACGUGGGAAAUCUGCCCAGAAGCAGGGGAUAACACUUGGAAACAGGUGCUAAUACCGUAUAACAACAAAAUCCGCAUGGAUUUUGUUUGAAAGGUGGCUUCGGCUAUCACUUCUGGAUGAUCCCGCGGCGUAUUAGUUAGUUGGUGAGGUAAAGGCCCACCAAGACGAUGAUACGUAGCCGACCUGAGAGGGUAAUCGGCCACAUUGGGACUGAGACACGGCCCAAACUCCUACGGGAGGCAGCAGUAGGGAAUCUUCCACAAUGGACGAAAGUCUGAUGGAGCAAUGCCGCGUGAGUGAAGAAGGGUUUCGGCUCGUAAAACUCUGUUGUUAAAGAAGAACACCUUUGAGAGUAACUGUUCAAGGGUUGACGGUAUUUAACCAGAAAGCCACGGCUAACUACGUGCCAGCAGCCGCGGUAAUACGUAGGUGGCAAGCGUUGUCCGGAUUUAUUGGGCGUAAAGCGAGCGCAGGCGGUUUUUUAAGUCUGAUGUGAAAGCCUUCGGCUUAACCGGAGAAGUGCAUCGGAAACUGGGAGACUUGAGUGCAGAAGAGGACAGUGGAACUCCAUGUGUAGCGGUGGAAUGCGUAGAUAUAUGGAAGAACACCAGUGGCGAAGGCGGCUGU